rnacentral:rRNA from 1 species
UACAGAGGUCUCAAGCGUUGUUCGGAUUCAUUGGGCGUAAAGGGUGCGUAGGUGGCGGGGCAAGUUUGGUGUGAAAUCCCGGGGCUCAACCCCGGAACUGCACUGAAUACUGCCUUGCUAGAGCACUGGAGAGGGAACUGGAAUUACGGUGUAGCAGUGAAAUGCGUAGAUAUCGUAAGGAAGACCAGUGGCGAAGGCGAGUUCCUGGACAGUUGCUGACACUGAGGCACGAAGGCUAGGGGAGCAAACGGG